GAUGAACGCUGGCGGCGUGCCUAAUACAUGCAAGUCGAACGCAUUGUGGUUGAAAUGAUAUGAAGAACUUGUUCAGAUUUGAUUUUCAACAUUGCAAUGAGUGGCGAACGGGUGAGUAACACGUGGGAAACCUACCUCUUAGCAGGGGAUAACAUUUGGAAACAAAUGCUAAUACCGUAUAAUAAUUAAAACCGCAUGGUUUUAGUUUAAAAGAUGGUCUUGCUAUCACUAAGAGAUGGUCCCGCGGUGUAUUAGUUAGUUGGUGAGGUAAUGGCUCACCAAGACAAUGAUACAUAGCCGAGUUGAGAGACUGACCGGCCACAAUGGGACUGAGACACGGCCCAUACUUCUACGGGAGGCAGCAGUAGGGAAUCUUCCACAAUGGACGAAAGUCUGAUGGAGCAACGCCGCGUGUGUGAUGAAGGGUUUCGGCUCGUAAAACACUGUUGUAAGAGAAGAAUGACAUUGAGAGUAACUGUUCAAUGUGUGACGGUAU
rnacentral:rRNA from 1 species